rnacentral:rRNA from 1 species
UACAGAGGCCUCGAGCGUUAGGCGGAAUCACUGGGCUUAAAGCGUGUGUAGGCGGACUUCUAAGUACCUUGUGAAAUCCCACGGCUUACCCGUGGAACGGCUGGGUAUACUGGGAGUCUUGAGCCACCUAGGGGCGAGUGGAACAAAUGGUGGAGCGGUGAAAUGCGUAGAUAUCAUUUGGAACGCCAAUGGUGAAAGCAACUCGCUGGGGGUGUGCUGACGCUGAGACACGAAAGCCAGGGGAGCGAACGGG